rnacentral:rRNA from 1 species
CCUACGGGUGGCAGCAGUGGGGAAUAUUGGACAAUGGGGGCAACCCUGAUCCAGCCAUGCCGCGUGUGUGAAGAAGGCCCUCGGGUUGUAAAGCACUUUCAGUGAGGAAGAACGCCUGGUGGUUAAUACCCAUCAGGAAAGACAUCACUCACAGAAGAAGCACCGGCUAACUCCGUGCCAGCAGCCGCGGUAAUACGGAGGGUGCGAGCGUUAAUCGGAAUUACUGGGCGUAAAGCGCGCGUAGGUGGCUUGAUAAGCCGGUUGUGAAAGCCCCGGGCUCAACCUGGGAACGGCAUCCGGAACUGUCAAGCUUGAGUGCAGGAGAGGAAGGUAGAAUUCCCGGUGUAGCGGUGAAAUGCGUAGAGAUCGGGAGGAAUACCAGUGGCGAAGGCGGCCUUCUGGACUGACACUGACACUGAGGUGCGAAAGCGUGGGUAGCAAACAGGAUUAGAUACCCUGGUAGUC